UUGAGUGAGGUUAACACCCAGGCCACGUCCCAAGGCCAGAGACUGCUUGGACAUCCCUCCCCGCAUGGCGACAGGCUGAGUCUGGGAUGUUUGUGACAGCUCUGGCCGAACGUGCCCCGGAGUCCAGCGAAGCCUCCAGCAGCUGGACAAGUGUGAUAAAUGGUCCCCCCUGGCACGCCACACCCCUCCACCGGAGAUGGGCCGGGGCUGGUGUAUGGACCAUGUGAAUGCAGCUGCUGGGUAACGCAAAGCCAUGAUGGAGAACCAUGAACGUGGGGAUGAGGUCCAGGGAAGCAACAGGACACCUUGGUGCUGGGAGAUACUUGCAGGCGGAGAGGGGAGAGGGGUCCAGAUGGAGGAAACGGCCAGAGCAAGCGAAGCUGAAAGGAUGCAGGAGGAAGGCCAGGAGCUGAGCGGGAAGGAGCAGAAAAGAUCAUCCUUCAAGGCCUGUGCCAAGUGUCUCCUCCUCCAGGAAGAUCGUUCUGACCUCUGGUUGCGCUCCUGCUCCCAAAGGAGCCACUGUCCAUGCGUCUGACACUAUCCUACAGCCUUCUUCCUGAACAGCUGUCAUCCUGCCAUCCCCAAAUCCUCAGACCGUUUUGUCCUUUCGGGGGGCCUCCUCCUGCACCUUGCCCUGUGCCACCGACGCUCAUUCCAAACCAAAAAUGUAUUGAGGGAGGAUAAGUAAACAUGGCCCACGCACACAAUGGAAUACCACUCAGCAACAAGAAGGAACAAAUUACGUGUACAUGCAACAACACGGAUGUCAAAGAUAGUAUGUUGAGGGGCGCCCGGGUGGCUCAGUCAGUUAAGCGUCCAACUCUUGAUUUCGGCCCAGGUCAUGAUCUCACAGUUCGUGAGUUUAAGCCCUGCAUCUGGCUCCAUGCUGACAGUGCAGAGCCUGCAUGAGAUUCUCUCUCUCUCUCUCUCUCUCUCUCUCUCUCUCUCUCUCUCUGCCCCUCCCCCACUCGUGCUUGUGUGCUCUCUC